rnacentral:rRNA from 1 species
GAUCCUGGCUCAGAUUGAACGCUGGCGGAAUGCUUUACACAUGCAAGUCGAACGGUAGAGGGGGCAACCCCUUGAGAGUGGCGAACGGGUGAGUAAUAUAUCGGAACGUGCCCAGUCGUGGGGGAUAACGUAGCGAAAGUUACGCUAAUACCGCAUACGAUCUAUGGAUGAAAGCGGGGGAUCGCAAGACCUCGCGCGAUUGGAGCGGCCGAUAUCAGAUUAGGUAGUUGGUGAGGUAAAGGCUCACCAAGCCGACGAUCUGUAGCUGGUCUGAGAGGACGACCAGCCACACUGGGACUGAGACACGGCCCAGACUCCUACGGGAGGCAGCAGUGGGGAAUUUUGGACAAUGGGCGCAAGCCUGAUCCAGCAAUGCCGCGUGCAGGAUGAAGGCCUUCGGGUUGUAAACUGCUUUUGUACGGAACGAAACGGUGAGCUCUAAUACAGUUUGCUAAUGACGGUACCGUAAGAAUAAGCACCGGCUAACUACGUG